GACAGAGGGGGCAAGCGUUGCUCGGAAUUACUGGGCGUAAAGGGCGCGUAGGCGGGAGGGUAAGUCAGUCGUGAAAUCCUUCGGCUCAACCGGAGAACGUCGGCUGAUACUGCCUUUCUUGAGGGAUGCAGAGGAGACUGGAAUUCCCGGUGUAGCGGUGAAAUGUGUAGAGAUCGGGAGGAACACCGGUGGCGAAGGCGGGUCUCUGGGCAUCUCCUGACGCUGAGGCGCGAAAGCGUGGGGAGCAAACGGG
rnacentral:rRNA from 1 species